rnacentral:rRNA from 1 species
UUAAUAAGUGGGCCCUAAAGCAGCCACCUUUUAAAAAAGCGUUAAAGCUUUAUUAACCGUUUGUAAAAAAUUCCAUUAACUACCUGUAACCCUCAACCUGUACUGAAUGAUUUCAUAAUUUUAUGAAAACCUAUAUGUUAGAACUAGUAACAAGAAGAAGCCCUUCUCCAAAAUGUAAGCAUAAGCCAAAAUGAACCACUCAUUGGCAUUUAAAGUUAAUAAACCACAAGUAGUAACUUAACAAGAAAAAACUACUAAUUAUAACGUCAACCUUACACUAGUACAUUUCUGGAAAGACUAAAAGAAUGGGAAGGAACUCGGCAAACAAUUAACCUCGCCUGUUUACCAAAAACAUCGCCUCCUGCAUUUUAUAGGAGGUCCAGCCUGCCCAGUGACAAAGUUAAACGGCCGCGGUACCCUAACCGUGCAAAGGUAGCGCAAUCAUUUGUUCUUUAAAUGAGGACUAGUAUGAACGGCAUCACGAAGGUUAUACUGUCUCCCCACUCUAUUCAGUGAAACUGAUCUCCCCGUGAAGAAGCGGGAAUAAAAAUAUAAGACGAGAAGACCCCAUGGAGCUUUAAACUCAGUAACAACUGCUAUUUUUAAGCCUAGUAUUUACACAGCCAUGAUUACUAGUUUUUGGUUGGGGUGACCGCGGAGUAGAACUUAACCUCCAUGAUGAAAGGAAGUAUUAACCUAAACCAAGAGCGACAGCUCAAAGUAUUAAUAAAUUAACUAAUUGACCCAAUUACUUGAUCAACGAACUAAGUUACCCUGGGGAUAUCAGCGCAAUCCAUUUCAAGAGCUCAUAUCGACAAAUGGGAUUCAGACCUCGAUGUUGGAUCAGGGUAUCCCAGUGGCGCAGCAGCUACUAACGGUUC